UCCCCCGGAGCUUGCCCCACCGGAAAAAGAGGAGUGGCGAACGGGUGAGUAACACGUGGGUAACCUGCCCAUCAGAAGGGGAUAACACUUGGAAACAGGUGCUAAUACCGUAUAACAAUCGAAACCGCAUGGUUUUGAUUUGAAAGGCGCUUUCGGGUGUCGCUGAUGGAUGGACCCGCGGUGCAUUAGCUAGUUGGUGAGGUAACGGCUCACCAAGGCCACGAUGCAUAGCCGACCUGAGAGGGUGAUCGGCCACAUUGGGACUGAGACACGGCCCAAACUCCUACGGGAGGCAGCAGUAGGGAAUCUUCGGCAAUGGACGAAAGUCUGACCGAGCAACGCCGCGUGAGUGAAGAAGGUUUUCGGAUCGUAAAACUCUGUUGUUAGAGAAGAACAAGGAUGAGAGUAACUGUUCAUCCCUUGACGGUAUCUAACCAGAAAGCCACGGCUAACUACGUGCCAGCAGCCGCGGUAAUACGUAGGUGGCAAGCGUUGUCCGGAUUUAUUGGGCGUAAAGCGAGCGCAGGCGGUUUCUUAAGUCUGAUGUGAAAGCCCCCGGCUCAACCGGGGAGGGUCAUUGGAAACUGGGAGACUUGAGUGCAGAAGAGGAGAGUGGAAUUCCAUGUGUAGCGGUGAAAUGCGUAGAUAUAUGGAGGAACACCAGUGGCGAAGGCGGCUCUCUGGUCUGUAACUGACGCUGAGGCUCGAAAGCGUGGGGAGCAAACAGGAUUAGAUACCCUGGUAGUCCACGCCGUAAACGAUGAGUGCUAAGUGUUGGAGGGUUUCCGCCCUUCAGUGCUGCAGCUAACGCAUUAAGCACUCCGCCUGGGGAGUACGACCGCAAGGUUGAAACUCAAAGGAAUUGACGGGGGCCCGCACAAGCGGUGGAGCAUGUGGUUUAAUUCGAAGCAACGCGAAGAACCUUACCAGGUCUUGACAUCCUUUGACCACUCUAGAGAUAGAGCUUCCCCUUCGGGGGCAAAGUGACAGGUGGUGCAUGGUUGUCGUCAGCUCGUGUCGUG
rnacentral:rRNA from 1 species